AGCAGCCGCGGUAAUUCCAGCUCCAAUAGCGUAUAUUAAAGUUGUUGCAGUUAAAAAGCUCGUAGUUGAAUUUCGGGGUUAGUAGGUUGGUCGUGCCACUGGUACGUACUGGUCUCACUGAUUCCUCCUCCCUGAUGAACUGUAAUGCCAUUAAUUUGGUGUUGCAGGGAAACUGGACUGUUACUUUGAAAAAAUUAGAGUGUUUAAAGCAAGCUAACGCUUGAAUACAUUAGCAUGGAAUAAUGAAAUAGGACGUUCGAUCCUAUUUUGUUGGUUUCUAGGAUUGACGUAAUGAUUAAUAGGGAUAGUUGGGGGCAUUAGUAUUCAAUUGUCAGAGGUGAAAUUCUUGGAUUUAUUGAAGACUAACUACUGCGAAAGCAUUUGCCAAGGAUGUUUUCAUUAAUCAAGAACGAAAGUUAGGGGAUCGAAGACGAUCAGAUACCGUCGUAGUCUUAACCAUAAACUAUGCCGACUAGGGAUCGGAUGAUGUUAAUUUUUUAAUGACUCAUUCGGCGCCUUA
rnacentral:rRNA from 1 species